UACGUAGGUGGCAAGCGUUAUCCGGAUUUAUUGGGCGUAAAGGGAACGCAGGCGGUCUUUUAAGGCUGAUGUGCAAGCCUUCGGCUUAACCGGAGUAGUGCAUUGGAAACUGGGAGACUUGAGUGCAGAAGAGGAGAGUGGAACUCCAUGUGUAGCGGUGAAAUGCGUAGAUAUAUGGAAGAACACCAGUGGCGAAAGCGGCUCUCUGGUCUGUAACUGACGCUGAGGUUCGAAAGCGUGGGUAGCAAACAGG
rnacentral:rRNA from 1 species